rnacentral:lncRNA from 1 species
UAAAGGUUUCUCAGAUUCUGAUGUUAGUCUAACUGUUUCCUUGGCUGGUUCACUUAUACCAGUUACCUGUGAAGGUUUGUAUGCUUCUGAUCCUAGUUUCACUGUUUCCUUGGCUGGUUCACUUACGCUAGUUACCUCUGAAGUUUUCUCAGCUUCUGACUCUAGUUUCACUGUCUCCUUAGCUGCUUCAUCGAUAAGAAUUCCUUCUGAAGGUUUCUCAGUUUCUGAUGUUUCUAUCUUCACAGUCUUAAAUUCUUGUUUUGGGGAUUCGUUGCUUUUACUUUCCUCGGACAGCUUCUGCUCUGGUUUUGGAGAUUCUGGUUUAACUAUUGGCUCAUUGGUUUUAGCAUCCUCAGCAGACGCUUCUUUCACAGUCUC